rnacentral:rRNA from 1 species
UACAGAGGGUGCAAGCGUUGUUCGGAAUUAUUGGGCGUAAAGCGCGUGUAGGCGGCUUUGCAAGUCGGAUGUGAAAGCCCCGGGCUCAACCUGGGAAUUGCAUUCGAGACUGAAUAGCUAGGGUACGGUAGAGGGAAGUGGAAUUUCCGGUGUAGCGGUGAAAUGCGUAGAUAUCAGGAGGAACACCAACAGCGAAGGCAGCACUCUGGGCCGGUACUGACGCUGAGGAGCGAAAGCAUGGGGAGCGAACAGG